rnacentral:rRNA from 1 species
UGGGGAAUAUUGCGCAAUGGGGGGAACCCUGACGCAGCCAUGCCGCGUGAAUGAAGAAGGCCUUAGGGUUGUAAAGUUCUUUCGGUAUUGAGGAAGGUUGAUGUGAUAAUAGCACAUCAAAUUGACGUUAAAUACAGAAGAAGCACCGGCUAACUCCGUGCCAGCAGCCGCGGUAAUACGGAGGGUGCGAGCGUUAAUCGGAAUAACUGGGCGCAAAGGGCACGCAGGCGGUUAUUUAAGUGAGGUGUGAAAGCCCUGGGCUUAACCUAGGAAUUGCAUUUCAGACUGGGUAACUAGAGUACUUUAGGGAGGGGUAGAAUUCCACGUGUAGCGGUGAAAUGCGUAGAGAUGUGGAGGAAUACCGAAGGCGAAGGCAGCCCCUUGGGAAUGUACAGACGCUCAUGUGCGAAAGCGUGGGGAGCAAACAGGAUUAGAUACCCUGGUAGUCCACGCUGUAAACGCUGUCGAUUUGGGGGUUGGGGUUUAACUCUGGCGCCCGUAGCUAACGUGAUAAAUCGACCGCCUGGGGAGUACGGCCGCAAGGUUA